CCUACGGGAGGCAGCAGUGAGGAAUAUUGGUCAAUGGACGAGAGUCUGAACCAGCCAAGUAGCGUGAAGGAUGACUGCUCUAUGGGUUGUAAACUUCCUUUAUAUGGGAAUAAAAUGUUCCACGUGUGGGAUUUUGUAUGUACCAUAUGAAUAAGGAUCGGCUAACUCCGUGCCAGCAGCCGAGGUAAUACGGAGGAUCAGAGCGUUAUACGGAUUUAUUGGGGUUAAAGGGAGCUUAGGUGGGUGGUUAAGUCAGAUGUGAAAGGUUGCGGCUCAACCGGAAAACUGCAGUUGAAACGGCCAGGCUUGAGUACAGGAGAGGUGGGCGGAAUUCGUGGUGUAGCGGUGAAAUGCGUAGAUAUCACGAAGAACUCCAGUUGCGAAGGCGGCUCACUGGACUGCAACUGACACUGAGGCUCGAAAGUGUGGGGAUCAAACAGGAUUAGAUACCCCGGUAGUC
rnacentral:rRNA from 1 species